GGGUUAAGUCCCGCAACGAGCGCAACCCUUGUCAUUAGUUGCUACGAAAGGGCACUCUAAUGGGACUGCCGGUGACAAACCGGAGGAAGGUGGGGAUGACGUCAAGUCCUCAUGGCCCUUAUAGGUGGGGCUACACACGUCAUACAAUGGCCGGUACAAAGGGUAGCCAACCCGCGAGGGGGAGCCAAUCCCAUAAAGCCGGUCGUAGUCCGGAUCGCAGUCUGCAACUCGACUGCGUGAAGUCGGAAUCGCUAGUAAUCGUGGAUCAGCAUGUCACGGUGAAUACGUUCCCGGGUCUU
rnacentral:rRNA from 1 species